UUUUGUAGUUGGAGCCUUUUGAGACAUAUCCCCUCCCUCAGAGUAUGGGGAGCAAUUCUACCUGGAGUUUGAUUCCUGUAGAAGAGCAAAUCCAGUCUUUUACCCAGUACUACAGUUUCACUGAAGCAGCAGGGACUGGCAAGGAAUGCUUGUAAUAUGGAACAUAUCAUGUAUAGUAAAAUGUCAUUUUCAAGUACUUUCUGAACUGUCGUCCCAGUAAUGAAGCAGCUCUGAAAUAUCACAUGACUUUCUCAGUGUGUUGCACUCUGUAUAACCUUGCCUUUGAUCGUGAUGUCAUUUCAGAUGAAAGGCUCGCACGGAGAACCGUACGCUGUGCAUUAGGAGCAGCAGAGAUCCUCUGGGAUCUGAACAGAGAAGGACUGUUUGAGAUGUGCACUCUAUGCUUGUCAAAGAGAAGCAGCUGUCCAUUUCUGUGCAGGAACAGACAUAAGUUAGAGGCUGUCAGUACUGCUGCAGAAGCAAACCACUGAGCUCAUGGACUGCCUCUGCCAAUGGCUAAGGUCAGCUACUGGAAAAAUUUACAAACCAGCUAUUAGAGCCAGUUAUGAUCCUGCAGAAGGGCCUCCACUGAGAACUGGUAUUCUUUGCUCAUUUUUGUGCAGUUCAGUAAGUCUCUGCCCUGGAAAACAGCUUCUCAUUCUCAAAACAAGGACAGCAAGAUGUGUGCAGGUCAGUUUGGGGAUAGGGAUUUAUUUUUUUGACCAUUAAGGUUUUCUGUCAUAAAAUUCCUUUUAUGUUGACAAAUGGGGAUCAUUCCUGAAAAUAGUCAGGACAGCUUGUCUAUGUGGUAGAUUUUCUUCUCCUCCCCUACCCUUAAAGCAUUACAGGAGCUUAAGCAACACUUCUGUCUGACAUGGAGGGCAAAGACACCAGUCUGAUAGAAAGGAUGCAGUGCCACCACUGCAGACCAAGGAAUUCUCAAUCCUUACCUAAACAUGGGGACUCUCUGACACCUCUGCUCUGGUCAGCAGCCUUCUCUGUAGGACACAGGCUGGGAUCUAGUUACAAUUUUAAUGAGAAGAGCUCAGAAAAGUUAUUAGUGACUGUAGGAGAAAAGCAAGUGAGGAGACCAUAAAUCAGGCCCUCAGAUGAAUUCAGAAUGCACUAAUAAAAUCAGAACUUCCAAUAAAUUUUGUUUCA
rnacentral:lncRNA from 1 species